GCCGAUGUCUCCAAUAAGUCCAAUGUUACACUGCCAAAGUCGAGGAUCGUGACGACAAUCGACAAUAUGCUAGCAGAAAAUCACACUGCUGCUUGGAAGAACACGUCUACAAAGCAGGCCGGUGCAAGAAUCAAUAAAAUCUU